AUUCUCGAAGAAGACCAUAUCCUCCACAUUCUCUCUGGUGUUGGCUCAGAAUAUGAUUCGAUCAUGGUCACCAUCUCUUCCAGUGCUGAUCGCUGGACAGUUGGUGAUGUUGCCUCACUCCUGCUCAGCUUUGAGU